rnacentral:rRNA from 1 species
CUACGGGUCGCUGCAGUGGGGAAUAUUGCACAAUGGGGGAAACCCUGAUGCAGCGACGCCGCGUGAGUGAAGAAGUAUUUCGGUAUGUAAAGCUCUAUCAGCAGGGAAGAAAAUGACGGUACCUGACUAAGAAGCCCCGGCUAACUACGUGCCAGCAGCCGCGGUAAUACGUAGGGGGCAAGCGUUAUCCGGAUUUACUGGGUGUAAAGGGAGCGUAGACGGUGAGACAAGUCUGAAGUGAAAUCCCGGGGCUCAACCCCGGAACUGCUUUGGAAACUGCCUGACUAGAGUGCAGGAGAGGUAAGUGGAAUUCCUAGUGUAGCGGUGAUAUGCGUAGAUAUUAGGAGGAACACCAGUGGCGAAGGCGGCUUACUGGACUGUAACUGACGUUGAGGCUCGAAAGCGUGGGGAGCAAACAGGAUUAGAUACCCGAGUAGUC